rnacentral:rRNA from 1 species
CCUACGGGUGGCAGCAGUGGGGAAUAUUGCACAAUGGGGGAAACCCUGAUGCCGCAACGCCGCGUGGGUGCAGGAGCGUUUCGGCGCGUAAAGCCCUGUCAGCGGGGAAGAAGAAAGACGGUACCCGACCAAGGAGCCCCGGCUAACGACGUGCCAGCAGCCGCGGUAAUCCGUAGGGGGCGAGCGUUAUCCGGAAUUACUGGGUGUAAAGGGAGCGUAGACGGCGAGGUAAGCCUGAAGUGGAAGCCCGGGGCGCAACCGCGGAACUGCGUUUGGAACUGUUUUGCUGGAGUAUGUGAGGGGUAAGCGGAAUUCCUGGUGUAGCGGUGAAAUGCGUAGAUAUCAGGAGGAACACCGGUGGCGAAGGCGGCUGACUGGACCAUAACUGACGUUGAGGAUCGAAAGCGUGGGGAGCGAACAGGAUUAGAUACCCGUGUAGUC